rnacentral:rRNA from 1 species
GAUGAACGCUAGCGGCAGGCAUAAUACAUGCAAGUCGAGGGCCUAGCAAUAGGACCGGCGAACGGGUGCGUAACGCGUAUGCAACCUACCUGUAUCAGGGGGAUAGCCCUAGGAAACUGGGAUUAAUACCGCAUAAUAAUAGGAAUAGCAUCAUUUUUAUUUGAAAGAUUUAUUGGAUACAGAUGGGCAUGCGUAGGGUUAGCUAGUUGGAGUGGUAACGGCACACCAAGGCGACGAUCCUUAGGGGCUCUGAGAGGAGUAACCCCCACACUGGCACUGAGAUACGGGCCAGACUCCUACGGGAGGCAGCAGUAGGGAAUAUUGGGCAAUGGAGGCAACUCUGACCCAGCCAUGCCGCGUGCAGGAAGACGGUCCUCUGGAUUGUAAACUGCUUUUGAAUGGGAAGAAUGUGCUCCUUGCGAGGGGUAAUGACGGUACCAUUAGAAUAAGCCACGGCUAACUACGUGCCAGCAGCCGCGGUAAUACGUAGGUGGCGAGCGUUAUCCGGAUUUAUUGGGUUUAAAGGGUGCGUAGGCGGCUUAGUAAGCCGGUGGUUAAAGGUAGUCGCUUAACGAUUUUACAUGCCACCGAUACUGUUGAGCUUGAGUUAUUUGGAGGCAGCUAGAAUUUCCGGUGUAGCGGUGAAAUGCAUAGAUACCGGAAGGAAUACCAAUUGCGAAGGCAGGUUGCUACAAAUAUACUGACGCUGAUGCACGAAAGCGUGGGGAUCAAACAGGAUUAGAUACCCUGGUAGUCCACGCCGUAAACGAUGAUUACUAGUUGUUGGGUUUUCGGACUCAGUGACCAAGGGAAACCGAUAAGUAAUCCACCUGGGGAGUACGCCGGCAACGGUG